rnacentral:miRNA from 1 species
ACUGCAGUGUGAGCACUUCUAG